ensembl:lncRNA
AGUUUAUAGCUUUCUCAUGUGAAAUGUGAAAUUAUGUUUUCAAACUUAAAUUGCUAUUUAUUGCUUUAAAAGCUCCUCACCUGUUCAAGCUGCAUAGAAGAGUGCUCUUUGCUGAAGCUGAUGUGAUUGAGAAGAUAUCCUGGAGGUUGGGGAUGAAUGGAAGGCUGGAAGGAAGCCUGGGAGUUUCAGAAGGUCUGCGUGGCCAGUGAGGAGCUUCUCAGUGAACUAGCACACAAGAAGAGACUGGAGAAGAGGCAGAAACAAGGGCAGGCAGCAAAACAGAAGUUAAAAAGCAGUGCUAGACACUUGGUGUCAAAAUCAGAAAGGCCAAAACCCAGCUGGAGCUGAGACUGCUGAGGAGCACAGAUGGGAACAAGAGAGAUUCUGCAAAAUGUUUCAGAGCAAAAACCUACUUUUACAGUGGCUGCAUGUGAUGCAGUAAUGGGCAGCAGGCAGGGGAGAACCAACUUAGACACUAGAGAAAACAGCUUCUGUUCAGAUCCAUGGAGUUUCUCCCACAGACUGCUGCAAAGCCUUCCUGAUCCUGUGGUCAUGAUUGUGGUGGCACUGCCAAUCCCUAAAGGAGGCAAGAAGAAUGACUCAGGGAACUAUAAAGUAGUCAGAUUCACCUCAAGCAGCUUAAAGAACAUGGAACAUAUAGUCAGGGGUAGUCAGCCCUGGAAGAUAAGUCCUCUAUGACCUGCCUAAUAUGAUAAAAUGCCUGGUUCUAUGGGCAAGGGCAGAGUGGUUGGU